rnacentral:rRNA from 1 species
UACGUAGGGGGCAAGCGUUGUCCGGAUUUAUUGGGCGUAAAGCGCACGCAGGCGGUUUGGUAAGUUUGGGGUGACAGUGCCUGGCUCAACCAGGCAAGGCCUCUGAAAACUGCGGAACUUGAGGACCAGAGAGGGACAUAGAAUUCCGGGUGGAGUGGUGAAAUGCGUAGAUAUCAGGAGGAACACCGGUGGCGAAGGCGGAUUUCUGGACCAGUUCUGACACUGAUGAGCGAAAGCCAGGGGAGCAAACAGG